GUUGGAUAAGAAAAACGUGUGUGGAAGGAAAUGUGUCUGCUCCUUCUCUAGAUCGCGCUCCUUGUGGAGAAGGGUUGAUUGGCGGAAAGCACUCAGCGGUGGAACCAGGUUGAAAAAGGCGACAGGGCGUUAUCACAUUAGCAGCGUUUCCUGCUGGAAGCUGGUACACGGUUCAAACCUUUGAUUACAAACCGAAUUACGUGGUUGUUGGAACAGAAUGCACAGCUGACAAAAGAAGUCAGUAGCUACCUUCUUUGACCAUAUGAUUCUAAUUAUAAUGAGACCUUUUUGUAAUGAGUAAAAGCUUUUUAUUUUUGAUUCUUUUGGCAUAAAAUGGGGGUUGGCAGGAUGAGUCUGGUCCCGGCUUUAUCUUAUUGUGUUGCAUGUAAAGAGCUUUGAAGAUAAAAUCCCCCAAACAAUGUCUGGCAGACAGCUGAGCGUUACAGUGAUGAGCACACACACCCUUCUUGGCUGAAAACUCAAGAAUCUACUAAUUUAAGCUGGUAGGGGAUAAUUUAGCAGCUUUGGUUCCCGUGGCGUCAUGAGAAUUGUUCAUUUAAUUCUCCAUGAAGAAGAGUUUUCACCUUCAGUGUUUCUCCUCAUUCAUUGUGAGUCUGGAACAUCUUUCAUGCUUCAAUUGAUAGAAGAUGAAUUGUGUUGAGUAGAACGUGUAUUCAAGGAAGAACUGUUUCAGGACGGAGGGCAUCGCGCCAACACCCUAAAUGUCCGACUUCACAGCGGACAGGAAGUGCGUUAAAAGGCACGGAGGAGGUCCUGGUGGAGGUCCUGGUGGAGGUCACGGUGGAGGUCCUGGUGGAGGUCCUGGUGGAGGUCCUGGUGGAGGUCACACUGGAGGUCACGGUGGAGGUUC
ensembl:lncRNA